AUGGUGAAAAAGCUAGCCUUAGCAUCCUCCACACCUGUGAAUCCAACAUCCAAACAAAACACCAACUACCUUCAGAUAUUAUCCGAAUUGUUGUCUGCUCAUAAUCUCAUUUUUCUCCCUUUUUAUUUGUCUCUCCUUUGUUUCUCUUCUUCCCUCUUCUUGUUGCUCCUCUCUUCUUUGUUUUUACUUUUUGCUUCUUUUCUUUGUUUCUCUUCUUCUCUUUUCUUGGGAUCUUCCUUCUUGUUCUUCUCUUCUUUGUUUCUAUUAUUACUUUCUUUUCUUUUCUUCUCUUCUUCUCUUUUCUUGGGAUCUUCCUUCUUGUUGUCCCUCUCUUCUUUGUCUCUAUUCUUUAUUUCUUUUCUUUGUUUCUCUUCUACUCUCUUCUUGGGAUCUUCCUUCUUGUUCCUCUCUUCCUUGUUUCUUUUCUUCUCU